UUGUCAGACCUGGAAACUGAAGUCCCUAUAUCCGGAGUACAUGUACAGCAAGGGCAAUAGUAGUGAAUGCUUCUCCUCACUGCCCUACCAAUUUACUGCAACCCUAGAAGAGACAACUUCUAGGAAUGAGAUGAUUCAGUCUCCAUACUCAGCCUGGGUGUGUCUACU
rnacentral:sRNA from 1 species